GGAUUCUCAGGCAAACCACUUUACCUAUACUUCCCCUAAAGUGGGACUACUACCUGUCUUACCCAGUCAUAUUCUUUGAGGACCAAGUGAGAUAAUAUAUGUGAAAGUACUUUGUAAACUGGGAUGCAUUCAUACUCAGGGAUGAAUGAAGACAUUUGCAGAUAAACAAAAGCCAGGAGAAUCUGGCACCAGCAGACCUGCUUUACAAGAAAUGCUAAAGGAUAUUCUUCAGGAUAAAGAAAAAUAAUACCAGAUGGAAAUCUGGAACUACAGAAAAAAAAAUGAAGAGUGCCAGAAUUGGUAAAUAAGAGGGUGAAGGUCAAAUUAAUCUUUCAACAGCCAAAUUUCAGGGAUAACUCAGCGAAAAUUUCAUCAAAACAGCCUUCUUUGUGAGACUUAAGGGACCUUGGAAACCUGGGUCUUAGUGAAGGAAUGCACCUCAUGCACUGGGCCACUUCUCUGAUGUUACCAGUUGCUUAGGAUGUGACACUCUGACCCCAUGGUGAAGUCAAGCCUGAGCAUUUCACUUUCCUGAGAUGGCAAAUGGCUAAAAGACUUAGACUUAACAAAUGCAAGAGCACAAGGGAUUCUGAUAUAACGUCGCAUGAGGAUUUCCAGUAGCCCUGGGGAAACACUGAGCUCUUUCUCUCUUCUCUAGAUCAGCACAUCUACUUUGUCACUCCACAGCUGACAAUAUCAUUUGUAGUUGAAAAACACGAGAGGGAAAAUAAGUAAUGCAAAUUUCUCCUCAUUCACCUGUUACAUAAAGUUCAGAUUUCAGGGCUGAGAAUUGAAGUUCUACUUAAAGACCCUCGAAUCUGACAGUUGAGAAAGUAGCUCUCCUUUACAUGCCUUGUCUUAAUUGCUAAGGUACCACAAACACAGGCUUCUCAAGAGACCUGCCUGGUGCACACUUCCUCUACUACAGACCGGUAGAGGACUCCAGUCAAUUAUCUGUUUCUUCCCCCUUACCAGUCCCUGCCAGUGGGCUAUAUGGGCUGCACAUUUCAAAUACAUUGUUUUCACUGUGGUAAAAUACAUAUAACAUAAAAUUUACCAUUUUAUCAUGUUAAGUACAUCACUUAGUGGCAUCAAUUGCAGUCACAAUGUGGUAUAAUCAUCACCACUAUGUAUUUCCAAAAUCUUUCAUCAUCUGAAACUGAAACUCUGUAACCAUUAAGCAAUAACAGCCCAUACUCCCUUCUCUGUGUUCUAACCACUGCUCCACUGUCUGUCUCUAUGAAUUUGACUACUUUAGGGACUCAUAUAAGUGGAAUUAAGGCCGGGCACAGUGGCUCAUGCCUGUAAUCCCAGCACUUUGGGAGGCCAAGGUGGGCAGAUCACUUGAGCUCAGGAGUUCAAGAUCAGCCUGGGCAACAUGGUGAGAAACCAUCUCUACUUUUAGAGGUGUGUAUGGUGGUGCACACCUGUAGUCCCAGCUACUCAGGAGGCUGAGGUGGGAAAAUCACUUGAGCCCGGGAGGUCAAAACUGCAGUGAGCCAUGAUUGUGCCACCGCACUCCAGCCUGGAUGACAGAGUGAGACCCUGCCUCAAAAAAAAAAAAAGUGGAAUCACAUAUUUAUGCUUUUGUGAAUGGCUUAUUUCACUUAGCAUAUCUUCAAGGUUCAUCCACGUUGUAGCAUAUGUCAGCAUUUCCCUCCUUUUUAAGGGCUCAAUGAUAUUCUAUGGUAUGUAUGUAACAGAUUUUAUUUAUCCAUUCAUCCAUUACUAGUAACAGGUUUUCUACCUUUUGGCUAUUAUGAAUAAUGCUGUGAACAUUAGUGUAAAAAUAUCUAUUCAAGUCUCUAGUCUUAAUUAUUUUGGAUAUAUACCCAGAAGUGGAAUUGCUAGAUCAUUUGGUAAUUCUAUGUUUAAUUUAUUGAGAAAUUGCCAUACUAUUUUCCCUCAUUAGGUUUUGAUUUGCAUUUCCCAAAUGACUAUGAUGUUGAGCAUGUUUUCAUGAGUUUAUUGGGCAUUUGUAUAACUUCUUUGGAGAAAUGUCUAUUCAAGUACUUUGCCUAUUUUUAACUGAGCUUUUUAAUGUGUUGUAGGAGUUCCUUAUAUAUAUUCUGGAUAUUAACCCCUUAUCAAUCAGAGAUAUGAUUUGCAAACAUUUUAUUCCAUUUUGUGGGUCAUGUUUUCACUCUCUUGAUGGUACCCUUCAUCCUUUGUCAUUUUUUAGCUUUUUUGUUUGUUUGUUUGUUUUAGAUAUGGGCACUAUAUUUCUCAGGUUGGACUUUAAGUCCUGGGUUCAAGCAAUCCUCCUGCCUCAGCCUCCUGACUAGUUGGGAUUACAAGUGCAUACCACCAUGCCCAGCUUGUCCUUUGUCCUUUGAAGGAUAAACGUUUUUAAAUUUAAUAAAGUCCAAGUUAUCU
rnacentral:lncRNA from 10 species